ACAACACAGCUGAUUGGACACACUAGUUCUGCACAGGAGAACAUAAGAUUCAAACUUAGCUUUUCCUUCAGAUUUGUAACUGAUUCUUUCCCUUCCUAAUUUCCUAUUCAAUUUUUCAAGUUUUUUUAAGUUUCCAGCAGCACAUUGUAUCUUAUGCUGGAAGCCCCUUCAUGAUCAAAAAUCCCUCGUCUGCUCACUCUUUGCAUGCCGAUUCGAAUGGCUCAGUUUUGGGAUUAUUUCAACGCCUUCAGCAGAUGCUAUUGCAUUAAAUAAAGAGAUAUGCCAUGCUGGACAGCUUCCACUCACUCCUAAUGCGAGCAUUCUGGCCACAGGCAACAACUUCACAUCCAGUCCUAUCACUGACAUGGCAACUAAGGAUUCUGGCAGUGUUCCCAAAACUGCAUUGCAUUACUUGUCAAAGCAACUCCUAAAGAAGUUGGCAGGCCAAAGAAAGGCCAGGUCCUGUUUUACAGUCUGACAUCCCGGUGGAGGCACAGCAGGUUGUGUGACGGCAGAGAGGAACAGGGUGGAGUUGGCUAUUUUUACCUGAAGCCCAGGAGUGAGCUUCAACACAGAAGGUGAAGCGGGAGGAGAGUGGAAUUUGGGCAACGUUUGGGAAUGUGAAUCAGGACCAAAACGAAGACGAUGACAAGCAUCUGAUCGACUGGCUUAGAAAACUGAUGAGUUUGCAGGGAAGGUUUUCUAUUAAGUGAUCCCUCAUCUUUAUUUCAUGGCAACCAAUUCUGAGAUCUAAACUGUCAAAAGGUGGAUCAUGCUUGACUGGCAUGCAGUGGAGGAUCCAGUGCAAACAUUUUCCAAGUGGGCAGUUCUCUGGACUUCAUGCAUGUGCCCUGCCCUUCACCUUUCUCCGGAAUCACCUUCUCUCUCCAUUGUUUACUAGUUGCUGUUCUCCACAAUCAAAUAUUGAUAGAGGUCAGGAGCGUAGCAAAGUCACCCCAUCUCAAUUUUUAAUGUAUAAUAUAGUACUGUAAAUGGUGUUCCCUCCACUUUAAUGCUUUCGAAGGCAAAUACAUCUCUACCGGUCCCUUUGGUUCAGGAUUCAGUUUAUAAAUAUGUUCCCCUCAGGUCCAUUGAAAGCCACACCGUGGUUUCAUAUGUAGUGAACCAUGCCACCAGUGAAUUAGAAAUACACUCAAAAACCCUUCAAAAAUCGAAGAGAGUCAACACAUUUCCACUGCUCUUCCUAAGUGGCCUUUUGGAGUAAUAACCUUGAAUAAUCUUUGAAAAGAAUAAAAAAAAAAAAAACUGGAGAAGGGGAGAAAUAGGCUAAGGAGACUCAGAAAGGCAGGUUAUGGUGGUGAAGUGGCUAAGUGUCAAAGAAGCCAUGAGCGAAACUCAUUUAUGUUUCAUACACACAUGGAUGAGGAGUCAAACUGGAGAUUCAGGGUCAGUUUAGGCGGGUCACUGAGCAUUGGAGAGCACAAGAAAAACCAUGAAAAGAGAGACAUGUUCACUGUAUGUUUGCAUGCAUGUAUGAGUUAACAGGUUCAUGGGUUCAUCUGCCCUCUCCUUAGUCUUUCCUGGUGUCUUUCUAUUGCCCAUACAACCUCAAAUUCUUCACUUUGUCUACAGCACGACAUGACAGUAGAUCUUCUCAGAGUGCACCA